UUUGAGAGUGAUGAGUUGCACGAAUCAGUUGGGGUGUUUGAUGCAGUGGCAACAACACUCCAAUCCGAUCCAACCUGAGGACACGCACAGUGCACAGGGGCCAUCUGACUCAAC
rnacentral:snoRNA from 13 species